rnacentral:rRNA from 1 species
AGAGUUUGAUCAUGGCUCAGGAUGAACGCUAGCGGCAGGCUUAACACAUGCAAGUCGAGGGGGUAGAGGAAGCUUGCUUCCUUGAGACCGGCGCACGGGUGCGUAAGCGUAUGCAAUCUACCUUAUACAGGGGGAUAGCCCAGAGAAAUUUGGAUUAAUACCCCAUAGUAUAAUUGAAUGGCAUCAUUUAAUUAUUAAAGUUCCAAACGGUAUAAGAUGAGCAUGCGUCCCAUUAGCUAGUUGGUGUGGUAACGGCACACCAAGGCGACGAUGGGUAGGGGUCCUGAGAGGGAGAUCCCCCACACUGGUACUGAGACACGGACCAGACUCCUACGGGAGGCAGCAGUGAGGAAUAUUGGUCAAUGGGCGCAAGCCUGAACCAGCCAUGCCGCGUGCAGGAUGACGGUCCUAUGGAUUGUAAACUGCUUUUGUACAGGAAGAAACACUCCCUCGUGAGGGAGCUUGACGGUACUGUAAGAAUAAGGAUCGGCUAACUCCGUG